AACGUGCCCUGUAGUGGGGGAUAACUAGUCGAAAGAUUAGCUAAUACCGCAUACGACCUGAGGGUGAAAGUGGGGGACCGCAAGGCCUCAUGCUAUAGGAGCGGCCGAUGUCUGAUUAGCUAGUUGGUGAGGUAAAGGCUCACCAAGGCGACGAUCAGUAGCUGGUCUGAGAGGACGAUCAGCCACACUGGGACUGAGACACGGCCCAGACUCCUACGGGAGGCAGCAGUGGGGAAUUUUGGACAAUGGGGGCAACCCUGAUCCAGCAAUGCCGCGUGUGUGAAGAAGGCCUUCGGGUUGUAAAGCACUUUUGUCCGGAAAGAAAUCGCACUUACUAAUAUUAGGUGUGGAUGACGGUACCGGAAGAAUAAGGACCGGCUAACUACGUGCCAGCAGCCGCGGUAAUACGUAGGGUCCAAGCGUUAAUCGGAAUUACUGGGCGUAAAGCGUGCGCAGGCGGUUGUGCAAGACCGAUGUGAAAUCCCCGGGCUUAACCUGGGAAUUGCAUUGGUGACUGCACGGCUAGAGUGUGUCAGAGGGGGGUAGAAUUCCACGUGUAGCAGUGAAAUGCGUAGAGAUGUGGAGGAAUACCGAUGGCGAAGGCAGCCCCCUGGGAUAACACUGACGCUCAUGCACGAAAGCGUGGGGAGCAAACAGGAUUAGAUACCCU
rnacentral:rRNA from 1 species